ACCCAAAGAGUUGAGUUCAGUUCAGGGUUCUCUCCCCUGCACUGGUAAUUAAACUUUGGAACAGUAAAUAGUUGGGGGAUUGUUGGGGUAGAAAGUUUAGCUUUUCUGCCAGUCCACCUCUCUCUCAACCCACAAUA